CCAUAGAUAUAUAUAUAUGCCAUACAUAUAUAUCCCAUAGAUAUAUGUAUAUUCCAUAUAUAUCCCAUAGAUAUAUAUAUACCAUAGAUAUAUAUAUCCCAUAUAUAUCCCAUAGAUAUAUAUAUCCCAUAGAUAUAUCCCAUAGAUAUAUAUAUAUCCCAUAGAUAUAUCCCAUAGAUAUAUGUAUAUUCCAUAUAUAUCCCAUAGAUAUAUAUAAUCCCAUAGAUAUAUAUAUCCCAUAUAUAUCCCAUAGAUAUAUAUAUCCCAUAGAUAUAUCCCAUAGAUAUAUAUAGAUCCCAUAGAUAUAUCCCAUAGAUAUGUAUAUCCCAUAGAUAUAUCCCAUAGAUAGAUAUAUCCCAUAGAUAUAUCCCAUAGAUAUAUCCCAUAG
rnacentral:lncRNA from 1 species